CCGAAGGGAAACCGAGUCUUAACUGGGCGUUAAGUUGCAGGGUAUAGACCCGAAACCCGGUGAUCUAGCCAUGGGCAGGUUGAAGGUUGGGUAACACUAACUGGAGGACCGAACCGACUAAUGUUGAAAAAUUAGCGGAUGACUUGUGGCUGGGGGUGAAAGGCCAAUCAAACCGGGAGAUAGCUGGUUCUCCCCGAAAGCUAUUUAGGUAGCGCCUCGUGAAUUCAUCUCCGGGGGUAGAGCACUGUUUCGGCAAGGGGGUCAUCCCGACUUACCAACCCGAUGCAAACUGCGAAUACCGGAGAAUGUUAUCACGGGAGACACACGGCGGGUGCUAACGUCCGUCGUGAAGAGGGAAACAACCCAGACCGCCAGCUAAGGUCCCAAAGUCAUGGUUAAGUGGGAAACGAUGUGGGAAGGCCCAGACAGCCAGGAUGUUGGCUUAGAAGCAGCCAUCAUUUAAAGAAAGCGUAAUAGCUCACUGGUCGAGUCGGCCUGCGCGGAAGAUGUAACGGGGCUAAACCAUGCACCGAAGCUGCGGCAGCGACGCUGAUGCGUUGUUGGGUAGGGGAGCGUUCUGUAAGCCUGCGAAGGUGUGCUGUGAGGCAUGCUGGAGGUAUCAGAAGUGCGAAUGCUGACAUAAGUAACGAUAAAGCGGGUGAAAAGCCCGCUCGCCGGAAGACCAAGGGUUCCUGUCCAACGUUAAUCGGGGCAGGGUGAGUCGACCCCUAAGGCGAGGCCGAAAGGCGUAGUCGAUGGGAAACAGGUUAAUAUUCCUGUACUUGGUGUUACUGCGAAGGGGGGACGGAGAAGGCUAUGUUGGCCGGGCGACGGUUGUCCCGGUUUAAGCGUGUAGGCUGGUUUUCCAGGCAAAUCCGGAAAAUCAAGGCUGAGGCGUGAUGACGAGGCACUACGGUGCUGAAGCAACAAAUGCCCUGCUUCCAGGAAAAGCCUCUAAGCAUCAGGUAACAUCAAAUCGUACCCCAAACCGACACAGGUGGUCAGGUAGAGAAUACCAAGGCGCUUGAGAGAACUCGGGUGAAGGAACUAGGCAAAAUGGUGCCGUAACUUCGGGAGAAGG
rnacentral:rRNA from 1 species